rnacentral:rRNA from 1 species
AGCAGCCGCGGUAAUUCCAGCUCCAAUAGCGUAUAUUAAAGUUGUUGCAGUUAAAAAGCUCGUAGUUGAAUUUCGGGAUCAAUAUAUCGGUCAUGCUUAGGUAUGUACUGGUAUUAUUGAUUUCUCCCUUCUGAAGAACCAUGAUGUCGUUAAUUUGAUGUCGUGGGGAAUCAGGACUGUUACUUUGAAAAAAUUAGAGUGUUUAAAGCAGGCAUACGCUUGAAUACAUUAGCAUGGAAUAAUGAAAUAGGACGUUUGAUUCUAUUUUGUUGGUUUCUAGGAUCGACGUAAUGAUUAAUAGGGAUAGUUGGGGGCAUUAGUAUUCAAUUGUCAGAGGUGAAAUUCUUGGAUUUAUUGAAGACUAACUACUGCGAAAGCAUUUGCCAAGGAUGUUUUCAUUAAUCAAGAACGAAAGUUAGGGGAUCGAAGACGAUCAGAUACCGUCGUAGUCUUAACCAUAAACUAUGCCGACUAGGGAUCGGAUGAUGUAAUUUUUAAUGACUCAUU